rnacentral:rRNA from 1 species
GGGGAAUCUUGCACAAUGGGGGAAACCCUGAUGCAGCGACGCCGCGUGAGCGAUGAAGCCUUUCGGGGUGUAAAGCUCUUACGCCAGGGACGAUAAUGACGGUACCUGGAGAAGCAGCUGCGGCUAACUACGUGCCAGCAGCCGCGGUAAUACGUAGGCAGCAAGCGUUGUUCGGAAUUACUGGGCGUAAAGGGUGCGUAGGCGGUGUACUAAGUUUGGUGUGAAAUCUCCCGGCUCAACUGGGAGGGUGCGCCGAAAACUGGGACACUCGAGUGUGGGAGAGGAAAGCGGAAUUCCUGGUGUAGCGGUGAAAUGCGUAGAGAUCAGGAGGAACACCUGCGGUGUAGACGGCUUUCUGGACCAUAACUGACGCUGAGGCACGAAAGCGUGGGUAGCAAAC